GGCGGCUCGAGUGCUGUUCUCCGUCCCAAACAGACAGGCUGCCCUAACACGCCGCCACCACCACUGCCCCGCCGUCACCGCCUCCGCCUUGUCCAGGCGAAGGAUGGGUAGCGUAAAGUUGAAAAGAGCGUGACGUAUUGCGACAGAUGAGAUCAAGUGACUGGAGUGUUUGGAGAGGACGGAAGGAGCCGCGGUGACGCCUCGCCUCGCCUUGCCGUCCCCUGCUAAUAAAGUCUAGCGGAGGCGCCCCAGCAGCGCCCUCCUCCCACCCGGACCGCGGCGAGACAGUGCGGGGCCACGCUGACGCCCUGCAGUCACCCCCUAAACAUGCUGGUGAGGAAAACAACAACAAUACAAAAGCAGAAUAGCAAUACAAAAAUAAACCAAAGUCAACCCUGAAAUUCAAGCGGCUCUCUCCCCAGCGUUCUCCUCCACCCUAAUGUAUCAGUUUACCAAUAAGCUGUGCCCAUCACGGUAUAUUUAUUAUAUUAUUUUAUUGCUCAUCUGUUGAGGGGAGAAUUUAACCUCGCAGUAUGAUUGAUGUUCACGAGUUCUGAAAAGAAAGACCAGAGACUCACCAUCACUGUAGUUACAAGGCUUACACACAUCUUUUGAAUAUCGUGAUAAGAAAAGACUCCUUACCGCGUGA